GACGAACGCUGGCGGCGUGCCUAAUACCUGCAAGUCGAACGCAGUGGCGGACGGGUGAGUAAUGCCUAGGAACUGCCUGGUAGUGGGGGAUAACUAUUGGAAACGAUAGCUAAUACCGCAUACUAGUAGAUGGACCUGCGUUGUAUUAGCUAGUAGGUAGGGUAAUGGCCUACCUAGGCAACGAUACAUAGCCGACCUGAGAGGGUGAUCGGCAACACUGGGAAUGAGACACGGCCCAGAGUCCUACGGGAGGCAGCAGUAGGGAAUCUUCGGCAAGGGGGGGAACCCUGACCGAGCAACGCCUCGUGAGUGAAGAAGGUUUUCGGAUCGUAAAGCUCUGUUGUUGGAGAAGCGGUAUCUAACCAGAAAUGGACGGCUAACUACGUGCCAGCAGCCGCGGUAAUUC
rnacentral:rRNA from 1 species